rnacentral:rRNA from 1 species
UACAGAGGUCCCGAGCGUUGUUCGGAUUUACUGGGCGUAAAGGGCGCGUAGGCGGCAGAUCAAGUCAGCUGUGAAAUCUCCGAGCUUAACUCGGAACUGUCAGCUGAUACUGUUUUGCUAGAGUGCGGAAGGGGCAAUCGGAAUUCUUGGUGUAGCGGUGAAAUGCGUAGAUAUCAAGAGGAACACCUGAGGUGAAGACGGGUUGCUGGGCCGACACUGACGCUGAGUGCGCGAAAGCCAGGGGAGCAAACGGG